GCUGGGUUCGGUGGCGCAGGCCUGUAAUCCCAGCGGCUCAGGAGGCUGAGGCAGGAGGACCACAAGUUCAAAGCCAGCCUCAGCAAGGACAAGGCGUUAAGCAACUCAGUGAGACCCUGUCUCUA
rnacentral:sRNA from 1 species